UACGUAGGGUGCGAGCGUUGUCCGGAAUUAUUGGGCGUAAAGAGCUCGUAGGCGGUCUGUCGCGUCGGUCGUGAAAACUUGGGGCUUAACCCUGAGCUUGCGGUCGAUACGGGCAUGACUGGAGUUCGGUAGGGGAGACUGGAAUUCCUGGUGUAGCGGUGAAAUGCGCAGAUAUCAGGAGGAACACCGGUGGCGAAGGCGGGUCUCUGGGCCGACACUGACGCUCAUGCACGAAAGCGUGGGAGCAAACAGG
rnacentral:rRNA from 1 species